rnacentral:tRNA from 1 species
GCUGGAGAUAUAGCUCAGUUGGUAGAGUGCUUGCUUCACAUGCAUAGGGCCCUGGGUUCAAUCCCCAGCACCCCAGCA